rnacentral:tRNA from 1 species
UCCAGGGUAGCCUAGUGGACAUGGCACCUGCCCGGUAAGCAUAAGGUUGUGGGUUCGAUUCCCGCCCCUGGAC